rnacentral:tRNA from 1 species
GGGAAUGUGGCUUAGUGGUAGAGUGCUUGCCUAGCAUGCAUGAAGCCGGGGUUCAAUUCCUCAGUACCA